GAGCGUUUGGAAUGGCUUACGGCCCUUCACACGGGUGGGGUCACAGGUUCAAUCCCUGUCGCGCCCACCA
rnacentral:tRNA from 1 species